GACGCGGCCGGGGCCGAGACGCGGGCUCCCUGCUGCUCCCAGCCGCCGCCGCGGCGCCGCCAGCCACAGCCCCGCCAGGUGCCGCUGCCAGUGGCGGCUCGCGACGCGCCGGGACGCUCCGCGCGGCGCCCCUCCGGGCCGCGACGCUCCCGCCGCAGGCUCCCGCCGCAGGCCCCGCGCCCCGGCCCCGCGCCCAACGCCCGCCCUGCUGCCGCAACGGCCGCCCCGCGCCGUCCCCCGGCCCGCCUGCAGCACCGCCGCGCCGCCGCCCCCGCCCCGCCGCGCCGCGCUGUGCCCUGCCCGCCGCCCACCUCCGCUUUUAGCCGCCGCCGCCGCGCGCCCUCCUCCCGCCGUGCCGGGCGCUACCACGCGGCGGCGGGGGGGGUUGGGGGGGGACGACCCGCGCGGGCACGGCCGAGGAGGGGCGGUCGCCAGCCUCCCGCCCCGCGCCUCCGCGGGACGCGACGCGGGGACGCCGGGCGGCAGCGCCGGUGCGGGCGGGGAGCGGGCGAACGGGCUCGGUUGGGCCCGGCCCCCCCCCCUCACGGCCCGGCGAGUGGCGCCGUCCGCCACCCGCGGGGCGGGGGCGCGGAGGCGCGGAGGAGGCGAGGCGGGGCGGGGCGGGGCGGGGGGGGGCGGCGCUGCCUCGCUGCCGCCCUCCCGCCGCCGGCAGCGGCCGUUGGCGGCCUUGAGGGAGGCGCCGCGGAGCGCGGCCGGGGCUGCGGUGCCCCCGGAGCCGGGCGGGGGGCGGCUGCCCUGGCGCCGCCUUUGUUCCGCUUUCGAGCCCCGUUAAAGCUCGCCCCCCUCCUGCAGCCCGCAGCCCGUCCCCCCCUGCCCGUCCCCACGUGCUCCUCACCGCGUUUGUCCUCAGCUCCCGGGCUGCCGCCGGCGCUCGGCAGCUGGUGCCCUCGGGCUCAGUGCCUGGUGCCUGAGGGUCCUGCGGCCGGCUCGCCUGCCUGCCUGACAGGACCCGAACUGCACCUCUCGCACCGUUUCGCCCUCUCCAGAAACGGCGUCUGCCCGGUGGGGUCUGGCGCUUCUGCUGCGGCACUGAAAAGCACCGAGCCCACCAGCCGGGGUGCGGAGCUGCCCGCUCCCCGCGGUCCCACACAGCAAGCGCGGCACUGCGGCCAACCCCGGCGAGGAGAGGUGCGAGGAAGAGGCGUAGCACACCGAGUUACUUCUUACUCCCCGCGCAAUUGCACUGCGUUAUCUGACGCUGGCAGAUGA
rnacentral:lncRNA from 1 species